GCACUGCUGAGGAGUCCCACAAUAGGACGAAACGACGUCCCAGUGC
rfam:Schistosoma margrebowiei strain Zambia genome assembly, scaffold: SMRZ_scaffold0002379